AUGGCCCUGACUGAAGACCAGCAGUUUUACUAUUGCAACUGCUUUCAAGCUGAGGCCUAAAGUAGUCUUCUUGUGGUCUCCUGGCUGGUUUUUCUGCCUUCAGCAGAAAAUGGCUAUUUGAUUCAGAAGAAACAAAC
ensembl:snoRNA